rnacentral:rRNA from 1 species
CCACAAGGCGUGGAGGCUGCGGUUUAAUUGGAUUCAACGCCGGAAAUAUUACCGGGAACGACGGCAAGAUGAAGGUCAGACUAAAGAUCUUACCUAAUGAGCCGAGAGGUGCUGCAUGGCCAUCGUCAGCUCGUGGUGUGAACUGUCUGGUUAAGUCCAGUAACGAGCGAGACCCUCGUCUUUAGUUGCUACUGCAAUCUCCGGAUUGCAGGCACUCUAGAGAGACCGCUGUUGUUAAAACAGAGGAAGGUGAGGUCGACGGUAGGUCAGUAUGGCCCUAAUUUCCCGGGCAACACGUGGCCUACAAUGAUUAGGACAAUGCGCUGCCACUCCGAAAGGAGGAGCUAAUCGCGAAACCUAACCUAAGUUCGGACUGAGGGCUGAAACUCGCCCUCACGAAGCUGGAAUGCCUAGUAAUCGCAUGUCACUAUCGUGCGGUGAAUCGGUCCCUGCUCCUUGC